rnacentral:lncRNA from 1 species
AACUCUGGGAACUUGGGUGCCCUUGACUGGCAGUAAGGGUUGAAUUAUCCAGAUCUGAAAUACUUUUCAGAGCCGAGGGGUGAUACGCUCUGCAAAAGCACUUUUUGCACCUCUCCCUUACGCCAAUACUCGCUGACUGUGCGCACAAGUCAUAUUCAGUAUUAAAUACAAACCGAUCUGUAAUUCAAUGGCUCUAGCAAGACGCCUCUGAGAGGGCCAGGUGGCGGGUGCAAGUUGCUCAUUAACCCUUCAGAGUCGCGGUUUGCAGAUCUGAGUUAAAUCCCUGGUUUAAGGUGGUUCAGUUGCCCUCCUCCCCCUCUCCCCCUGCCUCUGCGAGAAAAAUGUGCAAAGAGAAGGAAAUUUGCACAUCAAACGAGGAUACCAGGUCAUGGAGAAGCAAUAAAAAGGUGCAGGAACUGUGACCAACACGUCUCAGGAAGGAGAGAAGGUUCUGGUGAUUGUGUGAGUCUCUCUUACAGCUGGGUGACAGAGGAGGUGUGAGCCAGGCACUGCCAAGAGAAGGCUUUUUCUUUUGCUCAGGUUAAAUAAGAACAUCCUGCAAGGAGUCUGUUCUCUUAUGCAACCUGAAGAUCAAGUAAUAAUCAUUGACAUCGAUACUAAGCAUGUCGAUUUUGAAGAGACUGGCAUGUAAGUAUUAAGUGCCUGGAAAUAACGUGAAUUACUUGAACCAAGCGACUUUCUAAAAAAUAUGUGUGUGUGUGUGUGUGUGUGUGUGUGUGUGUGUAGAUAGAGGUUGUUUUCCCAUCACAAAAUUGGUUGUAUUAUUUAAAGCUGAUGUUCUCGGCUAUCACUAAUUCUGCAACUAGUGAAUUGUAAAGCCCCUUAAGGUGAAAAGUAGAAAGUAGGACCUUAAAAACACUUGAGUCUUGACACCCAGUCUUAGAAAUACUAAAGAGUGGAAGAUGUAGGCUAUUAAAUGGAACUAUUAACUUUUGGCGGGGAAGAGGAGGAGGGA